rnacentral:piRNA from 1 species
UGGUGUAAAGCUGUAUGCUAGCUAGCAUUC